GUCUACAGCCAUACCACCCUGAACACGCCUGUUAUUGUUUGAUCUUGGAAGCUAAGCAGGGUCAGGGCAGGUUAGUACUUGGAUGGAUAAAUAAGAAUAUAUAUUCCCUACUUAGACA
rnacentral:rRNA from 1 species